ACUCUUUGUCCCCCUUUUGAUGUCUAUGCCAGAAGCUUUCUCUGUCCUUUUUCACUGUAAUAAAACUUCUACCACACAAUAGCUCUGAGUAUUCAAGCCUGGUCCCUCGUCCCGAAGCUAAAUAUUUUUCUUUGAAGAUCAUGAAUCCAACAUUGUCCACUAUACUCUAUAAACAUGGUGAUGUAAAAUACUGCUUCUUCCAGUUUUGAGCCACAGCUGCCCAUUACCUCUGAAGGAGACCCUUCAAUUCUAGCAGUUCUGAGGAAGUUCUACAAUCAAACUACACUGGCUUUCAAAGGAAGAUCUCUGGGAACUCUUCCUCUUGUUUCUCGCCCCAGUCUGGUGUUUCUGAACCCCCACUCCAGUGGGAUAACCUCUGUGAUACAAUUGUUUUCUUCAAUGUAGAGUUUUAAGCCAGCUUUUUCACUCGCCUUUUUCACCUUCAUCAAGAGACACUCUAGUUUCUCUUCACAUUCUGCCUUUAAGGUGGUCUCAUCUGCAUAUCUGAGGUUAUUGAUAUUUCUCCUGAAAAUCUUGAUUCCAGUUUGAGCUCCAUCCAGCCUGGCAUUUCCCAUAAUGUACACUGCAUAUGUAUUAAAUAAGCAAGUUGACAAUA